AUGAUCAAAAAGAUUGUUUUUAUUAUUCAAAAUUUGAAACUUGUUCGAAUUCGAAACAACUCGAAACUUCUUGCUUAUACUGUAUAUAAAUAAGACAGUUGAGAGCGACAGGAAGUGAGUGUUGAAAAGUUUUCAAACUGAAUAAGCCAAUAAGAGCAGAGCAGCAUCACAUUAACAUCUUAAGUUCCAGAGGGUGUAUAUAGUGGUGCAGGAAAUAGAGCAAGAUCAGUAAUUGAUGAGCAGAUUCUCACUAAGGUCAACUGUGAAAGGUUCAGCACAAUGAUUUCUGAAUAUGUAAAACCUAUCCUGAAAGCAGAUGCUUUGAUGUGUAUCAUCCUUGUAGCAGUGGAGUUGCUGCUAGAGAAUGCGUUUGCCUGUCCUUGCAAUCAGAACAACAUUUUUUUCUGCUAUGGGCUUCUUUCUGGUUCAAGUCUCAUCAUCAUUUUUGUCUCAUUGCUCAUCCAGACUCCUCACUACAAGAAACUGAAGGACUGUUGUGGUUGCUCUCUUUUUAACUGUUUGGUCGGCAUAUUUAUGUCAGCGUUGAUUUCCUUGUUAACUUGGCUCACUGUGUGGUACCUUGAUGGACAUUACUCUGUCUGCAAGUGGAGCACCUGGGAUGGCGUUUGGACAGAGAACUCUUUGCAAGCCCCCAACAAAUGGUGCAAGCCUUUAGGUGGCAACAAUACCUUCAUCAAACUGCAAGAACUGAACUCUACAAAGUGGUCCACUGAAUCUCAGGAAAUAUCCAUCAAGCUCUUCGUUGGCCUUACUGGGUGUAUACUUGUCUACACUUCUAUGCUGAUUUAUAUUAGUUAUAAUGAUGGGGAAAAUGUAUGAAUGCAGUGCCUAUUGGUACACACAUGUGUAAAUAAAUGAAUGAAUAGACUUUAUUGUCAUGUCAGGCGUAAAAACGGUCCUCAGUCUCACCAAUACAAUAGACAGUACAAUAUACACAGUAUAGACACAAAUACAUAAAACUGUUCACUGAGACACAACAUAUCCACAGGAUACAUAAUUUUAAAUACAAGUAGGUCUUGGUUGCACACACACAGGCAUUCUCACUCUCACUCCCUCACAGACACAAACACACACACACACUCCUUCCAGACCUGGCCAAACUAGGCUCCCAUGUUUAUUUUUUUCCCGGGUUUAUUGACCGUACUAAAUCCAUUUGGUAAGAAAGAACCUUUUUUCUUUUUCUAUUUUUUGACUUUGCUUAAAGCAGCACUAAAGAUUUGUUCUGGGGGUCCCCCUAGAGUUGAGAAGUGCAAUAACAAAGGCAUGUGUUCCUACAGAAAACUUCCUAGGCUAUUUUUACAAGCGAUAAGACCUGCUCAGAGUGCGGCAGAAGUGCUUUUCCCCUUUUAGGAGUGUAUGUGCCAUCAAAAUGAUUUCCAGAAUGACUCUUAAAAGCAUGCAUAACUAGUAUUGCUGUACAAAUGCUGUAAAAUAUGCUAACAUCUGUCCAAUGACAUGCCAUUUAAUACCUUACAAUGUGAACUCUGGUCAUCAGUUCAUGAACAUACAGAAAACUAUUGUACUAAAUUGACAAAUAAAUGUUAAAAAAAUCUU